UACGUAGGGGGCAAGCGUUAUCCGGAUUUACUGGGUGUAAAGGGGGCGCAGACGGCAAUGCAAGCCAGGAGUGAAAGCCCGGGGCCCAACCCCGGGACUGCUCUUGGAACUGCAUGGCUGGAGUACAGGAGGGGCAGGCGGAAUUCCUAGUGUAGCGGUGAAAUGCGUAGAUAUUAGGAGGAACACCGGUGGCGAAGGCGGCCUGCUGGGCUUUUACUGACGCUGAGGCUCGAAAGUGUGGGGAGCAAACAGG
rnacentral:rRNA from 1 species